GAUGAACGCUGGCGGCGUGCCUAAUACAUGCAAGUCGAGCGAACAGACGAGGAGCUUGCUCCUCUGACGUUAGCGGCGGACGGGUGAGUAACACGUGGAUAACCUACCUAUAAGACUGGGAUAACUUCGGGAAACCGGAGCUAAUACCGGAUAAUAUAUUGAACCGCAUGGUUCAAUAGUGAAAGACGGUUUUGCUGUCACUUAUAGAUGGAUCCGCGCCGCAUUCGCUAGUUGGUAAGGUAACGGCUUACCAAGGCAACGAUGCGUAGCCGACCUGAGAGGGUGAUCGGCCACACUGGAACUGAGACACGGUCCAGACUCCUACGGGAGGCAGCAGUAGGGAAUCGUCCGCAAUGGGCGAAAGCCUGACGGAGCAACGCCGCGUGAGUGAUGAAGGUCUUCGGAUCGUAAAACUCUGUUAUUAGGGAAGAACAAAUGUGUAAGUAACUAUGCACGUCUUGACGGUACCUAAUCAGAAAGCCACGGCUAACUACGUG
rnacentral:rRNA from 1 species